rnacentral:lncRNA from 1 species
AAGCUCAUGGAGCUUUCAACUUCGAAGUCUCCUUCUCCAAGCUUCUCAUGCUUCACCUUUUGCCAGAAAUAUCAUCUAAUAUGGCAUUCACGUGGUGCUUUGCUUUCUCAACUCCUGCCUCUCUAGCCAAGGCUUCCUGCCUCUUUACAGUGUAUGCAGUCUGAACCACUUUCAUUUCAAGCUUCCUCACCUGAGUCCCUAAGGUCUCAAUCUUUGUGUUCAGACUGUUGUAGGCGGAAUCUAUCUUUCCAUUGAAAUCCACAGUGAGUUGUUGCU